CCUACGAUGAUACUUGAAAUCAUGCAUAGUUCACACUGAAACUAAAGUGUUGACAACCAUACAUCUUUGUCUUUCGCUCCUAUCUGA
rnacentral:snoRNA from 1 species